GGAAGGAAGGGAGGGAGGGAGAAAGGAAGGAAGGAAGGAAAGAAGGAAGGAAGGAAGAAAAUAACUCAAACUUCACCUCCAUCAUAGAACAGUGAGGAAAUUACUCCAUAGAGUCUGGCCUAAUUUAGAGAAUAUGUAUACAUCAAUGAAAGUUUUUAUUAUUGUUUUGUUUUGCUUCCAUUGAGACUUGGUCUCAUUAUGUUGACCAGGAUGGCCUCAACAUAAUGAGAUCAGCAGGGAUCCCGAUGGUGCACUACCACAACUGGCACAGAGUACCAUCUACUGAGCAUGAAGACCCUGUGUGAGCCACAUCUACAGGAUUGCUUCAAACACUGGGACCCCUAGAUACCCUACUACCAGGAAGAAUGACCCUGUGACAGCACACUCUCGUGGCUCAGUCUCUACCAAACUGUAGCUGCAGACAAGCUAAUGACAUCAAAACCCUCAUUAAAACCAAGUUACCUGUGA